rnacentral:SRP_RNA from 1 species
AACGGGCAAGUCUUACACGACCAGCUCCUGCUGAACUCCCCCAGGAUCGGAAGGUAGCAAGGGUAAGUGGUUGAGCGGUGCGAUGUAAGUAGCUUGCCCAU